rnacentral:lncRNA from 1 species
CUGUUCUUUGCUUUGUUCACUGGACAGUUAUCUCGGAGACGGCAGGCGUCUCCGUCCAGGGCGGCCGUGACCCGAUUCGCACACCGGGUGGCUAAAUAGACGUUUGUUCUCUCGCAGUCCUGGAGGCCAGAAGUCUGGAAUUCAGGAAGAGGCAGUGGUGGCUCCUUCUGGAUGCCCUGAGGGAGAAUCUGUCCUUGCCUUUCCCAGUGUCUCACGGUGGCCGGCAAGCCUUAGCUUGUAGGCAGAGCACUCUAACCUCUGCCUCCAUCUUCGUGUGGCCUGUCCCCCAUGUGUCGCCUCUUUUUAUGAAGACCCCAAUUGUUGGCUUAAGGGCCCACCCUACUCCAGUAUGACCUCAUCUUAACUAGUCACAUCUGCAAAGACCCUAUUUCCACAUAAGCUGUUGGGGAGAGUAACCAGGAAGGGGUAUCUGACCGGUCUGAGAGGAAGAGCAGCAUCUGACUGAGCCACGGAGGGGACCUUGAAGCUGGAGCUGAGGGACCAGCGGGUGAGGUUCUCAUGCGAACUCCUUCCGGCCCAUUAGUCCACUGUGGAGCUGAGCGGCUACGGGGAGGAAGCAUUGCCUGCUGGCGGGAGAAUGAAUCCAGGGAGUUUCCGUUCCUGUGCCAGAAGGCAACCCACAGGGACCUGCCCGAGGCAUGCAGG